UUUUUUAAAUUUUUUUUACUGAAGUCAUCUUAUACCUUGGUGACAUUUUCAUACGAUCCAAGACAUCAAAGCAAUAACGAACUGAACAGAAUCAUCACAAUAACAGGCAAAACCAGGGAUUCAUUCCAGUCCAAUUUUAUUGAGGAUUCCUUUAAUAUAUUGUUCUUUCUGCAUUUAGACACUAAGGCUUCAAGCCGUUCACGCAUGUACAGAUAUAGGAUCUUAAUAUGAGCUAGUUUGCUACAGCAACAGGACAUGUACAUUAUAAUGUGGAUUAAUAUGUAUGGACAUUUUUGUAGGGGUUGAUACAUUUUUAAGGGAAAAUCAAGUCUGACAUUUCAAAGUGGAAAUUACAAACUUCAGAAACACCACACGUUUUAAAUUAUUCUACAACAGGGUGAUCAAAUUAAGUUCCUAAAUCUAAAGACAAUGCAGCUUUUAAGGCAAUGUCCCCACUUUUGCUGAGAUUGCAUUGACGGUAAACGCUGCAGAUGUCAGCUCAAUCGGAUAUGACCUUCACGUCAAACGCACUAUAACAUGACUCUAACACCUUUUUGGAUUGAAUCGUGGCCUAAGCAAAGACCAAUAUGAACAGACAACACCUCAACUUCUAUUUACUGCAAUUGUGCAUAAGAGUCUAAAUAUUUAACAGUUCCAUGUCAAUCUUCAUUAUUAUUUGUAUUAUUAUUAUUAUUGUAUACAGUAUUAAAGUAAUACAUAAAUGAUCCUGGGGCUUAACAUGAUCUAAUACAUUGCAUUGAAUCAACACAAUUGAUCCGAAAUACAGCAUAAUCCAAGGGUGACUCAUAUGGGUUAGCACUGUCAAGAUGUUCAUUUACACUUAUUACAGGGCACAAGUCAUAUUGAAACAUUUCAUAAUUUAGGUAACAAACUGAAAAUGGAAUUGCAGUUUCUAUUUAAUUGUCUAGUGCUUGUUGAAGGUUCUAGGCACAGUCAUCAAUUAGCAGCACUUCAAUUGCAUUCUCUUACUUCCCAAUUAAGCAAUUGAAAGGGACAAAGGACCAACAACAUGUUCAACUUUUGUGAUUUACAAAAAUCCUCACGCCACAUGACUAUAACACAAUCCUUUGUAUAUGGAUAUGAUUCACUGUAUGGGAAUGGAGCACUCUAAUAGGUUUACAAACUGCUGGAGAUUGUCAUACAUUCUCAUUGGUAUCAGCACAACAUGGCAUGAGAAACAGGUUUAAGUCAUUGUCAUAAUUUGAAAGGGACAAAACAGAGUAAUGUUAAAAUGCUAAUUAAUCCAGUAUGAUGCAUCAUUGCAUUUAUGGAGUUCACUAAAAACGUUGUGGUUUUUUUCUAUUUAAUUUAUUUAUCCCCAAAGAUACAUCUCUCUGUCAGCUUGAGGUAAUGGCACCUGGUUUUACUUAGGCUCAAGAACCCAACUCCAUUCAACAAUGUCAUGGGAGUACUUCAGUCACACAGACUUUCUUAACUUUGAUUUUGACUUAGGAGACACAUCCAAACACAGAUGCUGAUGUAAUAAAAAAUGAGGAUCUAUCAGUCACGCUUGGAGAUGUUUGAUGGCAGGACAUUGAAAAAAGCAUCCGAGUUAGGUGAAGUCGCUAACCCCUGCCAUGACGAAGAGUCCUUGGAGGAUUGAUUGGUCCGCUCUAUUUCUGAUGUACAUGACACCGUCCAAAUAGUCUAUGAGCGACAAAUUCACUCAGACCUUUUAAACAAAAAAAGAAUAGAAGCAGGCCAAUAUUGUAUAACUUUGAAACCACAAGAUUCUCUGUAAAAAAAAAAAUCCAGCAAUAUUUCAAGCAAUAAUAAACUUAAUUUGUAUAAAAAUAGAUUACUUUAGAUAUUCUUAGAUAUUUAUAUACAAAAGUGACACGAGUAAAAUAGUUCAGCCAAAUGUCCAUGUCUUCCACUUAUUCGACAAAUUAGGUGGUUA
ensembl:lncRNA